CGUCAACGUUGUAUUUUUAAGGGUAUAUAUUUUAUUUGUGUGUUUAUCUUAUCUUUCUUACACAUGCACACACACUCACACACGUACUAAUUAAAAGCUAAAUACAUCUAAAAGUAAACUGGUUGACUAUAGGAACCACAUGUCGAUUGUUGUUCUCAGCCGGUGAAUAUCUCGGCUGCACCAACUGCGAGAGUAGCAACAAUAGCAUUAGCUGAUCAAAGAGCGAAAGUGGCCAUUUGCGCUAAUUUGUGUGUAAUACGGUAUAUGCUUUUGAAAGUUUUCAUCAAAAUUCAGUUUCUUAUAACUUAUGUGCGCAGGUCGUGUUCUCGGUUUGUCAUACUUAUUUUUAGUAUGUUUAUUUUGAGAAGUCCAGCGGAACGUUAACGUUAGCUAACAAAAGGAAAAUUAAUGGUUUUCUGAAAGUGCGCCUGCUGUAAUAAUUUGCAAAGUGUGCAUGUGCACGCUACACUGAAAAAAAAUUACUAGCUGGAUUGCCAGUAAUUAAUUGUCCUCGGCUCACGGGAUGGCUGCUGCUGGACUGGAGCCUGCACCUGGAUCGAGCAUCGGUGAUAAGGAUAUAAAGCAAUACGGUGACCUGAAUCAAAACGAAGAGGAUUUGGAUAGAAUUGCAGAAGCAAAUGAACUUUUCGAUGCUGUUAUAACCGGUUCGGUUAAUCAGGAGAAAAGUGUUACUAUCAAGGAGUCCUCACCUAAGGAGACAAAAACGAAAGAGGAGGAUAAAUCAACAGAAGUGAAUUCCGCAAAAGGAGGAAACUAUCUAAGGAGACUCUCUGUAUAUGUUGGACAUUUCCCAUGGUGGGUAACGGACAAGGACCUAAUAUCUAUGGCCAAAGGGUUGGGUGUGAAGAACAUCAUAGAGAUCAAGUUUGCUGAGGACAGGAGUAACGGUGUGUCAAGAGGCUUUGCAGAAGUGGUGGUAACCUCAGACGAGUCACUAAAAAUAAUGUUGGAAAAAGUACCCCAGUGUAAAAUCAACGGGGAAGAGAUUGAUUGUCGCUUUGCCACUUGCCAGAACCUUUGUGUGUUUGAAGAUGAAGCAAAUAAACGGGUACCCCUGCGGGCUAACAAAGAAACGAAGGAAUCUGAUUCCUCAGAUGAGAAUCUCUCCUUAUUAUUAGCACAGAAAACCAACCCCUCCACAAUACCUCCACUUUUUCCAUCACAUCCACUUGCUAACAGCUUUCCUCCAUUACCCGGUCCUUCCCUUGGUCAUCCACCUCCCCUGUUUCCACAUGUGCCACCAAUGAUCCCUCCGCUCAUGGCGACCCCAUUAUUCCCUCCUCAUCCAGUCCCUGUUCCCAGCCACUUAUCUCCUGGUAUGCAUCCCACAUACCUCAACCCAGCACAGGAGGGGCACAGCAGCAGCGCUUACAGCCAACAAAAAAAUGCACCUAAAAGUGGAGAUCGAGAUUUCGAGGAGCUUAUGAAGAGAAAUAGAACUAUUGCCAGCAGUGCCAUCACAAAGGCCGUGAGUGGUGCAACUGCUGGAGACCUGCGGGUGGCCAUGGAAACACUAUUAACUGCCAUUGCCAUCAUUAAGCAGUCAAGAGUGUAUGGCGAUGAGCGCUGUCAGACACUGGUCAUGUCACUCAAAGACUGUCUAGUCUCUAUUCAGGGCAACUACAGCUACAGUGAACGAAGUCGCUCUCGAGAAAGAGACCGGAACAGGAGUCAGGAAAGGAGUCGCGAAAAGAGUCGGGACAGAGAGCGAGAACGUGACAGAGACAGGGAAAGGAGUCGUGAACGGGACCAUGAAAGAGACAAGGAAUGGAGUCGGGACAGAGAUCGAGAACGUGACAGAGACCAAGAACGGAGUCGAGAACGAGAGCGUAAUAGAGACCGGGAAUGGAGUGGUGGCAGAGAGCGUGAUAGAGACUGGGACAGAAGUCGUGACAGAGACCGUGAUAGGGACUGUCCUUCUGUAUGGGAAGAUGCAGGAAUGUCUCGAAGACACCAGGCGCAUUCCUGGAGUGGAGAAAGGGAAAAGGAAUAUUCACGGGAACGGGAAAGACACAGAGAUCAUAGAGCCAGAUACUACUAAUUUGGCUGUUUGAGAACUGAUCCAAUCACUUCUCUCCCUGAAGAUCCCACAGACCUUGACUGGUGGAGUAUCAUGAUUGAAGCAAAGACAGGACUGUUUCUUUUGACAAAAAUGUGGAGGAAUCCCAGGUGAAACUACAGAUACACAUCUUCAGAAGUCUAAGGUGUACCCUUUUUUUAAAAAAUAAGUCUCCCAGGACUUGUAAUUUCAGAAAUAAAAACUGUAGAUUUGUUGAUGGGACAUCAAAUUUCAAAGCUUGCAUGUGCAGUAACACCUAACUUAAUGUAAUAGUGUAUGUUUAACUUUUUUUUUUUUAAAUUAAAUGUACAAAUUGAAAUCCCUGAAAAUAAAUCCAAGGUUUUGUUUUAUCUGCUUAUUGAGGACCACAAAAAUCAUUCAAAUUGCCUGUAUUUGGAUUUUCAUCUACUGAUAAGACAUUAAAAUAUAAAACUAGA